GCGCCUGUAACUCACAUGGAUAGAGUACCUGGCUACGAACCAGGGUGUAGCAGGUUCGAUCCCUGCCAGGCGCGCCA
rnacentral:tRNA from 1 species